CGGGUGUGGCUGAAAUAGCCAAAUCCACUAAUUUGAAGGUGUCCACAUACUUUAGUAUAUAUAGCAUAUAGCAUAUCUCCCUGUGUUUCAUAUUUUGUUCAGUGUCAGUCUGGCUUUGGUUUGUUCUGUCUUGUUGUCUUUGUGUUCAUCCUGAUUGUGCAUCUCCGUGUGCUAUACAAACCCUCCCCUUCUUUCUCCCCUUCUUUCAUCCCUCUUUCAUCCUGCCAUGCCAUCCACACCUCCUCUCUCCUAUAAAAUCCCUUAAUUCUCUUUCCUCAGUUGUCUCCUUCCCCCCAGCUCCCACUCCUUGGCCCUCCAUCUCCUAUCCCCCCAUCCCCUCAUUUGUGCCCGUAGUGUCCUUCUUCCCCCCCGAGGCCCCUGCCGCAGCUGUUUCAGAGGCCCCACCCAAGCCUGUGGGCACUGCCAGCCUCUCCCUUGCAUCUGCGCCCAGCACCCAAAUGAAAGCCCCGCCACACGGGCCUGACACUGCGUUGCUUCAGCCACCGCACCAGAUAAACAUUCAGCAGCACCUCAAGCUGCACAUUCACCCGCAGGGCAAAUCAUGGCGAGGAGGUGCAAAGGAGAAGAAAUAUGAAUUAACAGGAUUCUUUGGGAAUAGUGGAUACUAAGGUAAAACAUUAAAGGUAGACUAAACGUGUCCUAUAGAUGAUCCUAUAGAUUUUAAAUAUUAGGCAGUAUGAAUAUGAAUUGUGUUGACCACUUUCUCUCCCUCUUGUCUUUCUCCUCAUAGGUUGACCAGGGUGACGGUGGCCAUUUACAGCAUUUAACUUCACUAGAUUUUUUUGACAUUGCUGUUGUUGUUUAUAUUUGUUUUAAUUCCCUUUUUAAUUGAUCUCUAGUUUUUGUAUAAUUAUUCAUAUCUCUCUGUCCAUGCCAAACCGGUCCUACCUGACAUAUUUUUUUAAUAGUUUUCAUGCCAUGUCUGUAAUAUCACUAGAACUAAGAAAACACACAUUUAAGUCUUGCUAGGGCAUACCUUCUUUGUAGUUUAUAUUUUCUACAAAUGUAUCUUGAUUAUGUGUCUGUCUUAUUUCAUUUCGUAACCACCUGUCUUACUCCACUUACUGGAUAAGGUGAAUCAUGUUUUGAGAGUUUGUGUGCUACAAAUAUUUAAUGUGUUGAUUGAAUCAAUCCAGUUUUUGUCUGCAUAGUUUUAUAAACUCAAACUCAAACAAAUGUAUUUUGUAUGGGAAAGUUUUUUUUAAUUUUUUACUACCUGUGGCAAACACCUGUACAUUUUUGGACAGUUUUGAUGGAAUAAAAACAGACUGGAAAUACCAUCUGUGUGGCAAAAGUUUAUUUUAUGCAUGUAUU
rnacentral:lncRNA from 1 species